CCUACGGGAGGCUGCAGUGGGGAAUAUUGGACAAUGGGCGAAAGCCUGAUCCAGCCAUGCCGCGUGUGUGAAGAAGGCCUUCGGGUUGUAAAGCACUUUCAGUGGGGAAGAAAGCCUUGGGGCUAAUACCCUCGAGGAAGGACAUCACCCACAGAAGAAGCACCGGCUAACUCCGUGCCAGCAGCCGCGGUAAUACGGAGGGUGCGAGCGUUAAUCGGAAUUACUGGGCGUAAAGCGCGCGUAGGCGGUCUGAUAAGCCGGUUGUGAAAGCCCCGGGCUCAACCUGGGAACGGCAUCCGGACCUGUCAGGCUAGAGUGCAGGAGAGGAAGGUAGAAUUCCCGGUGUAGCGGUGAAAUGCGUAGAGAUCGGGAGGAAUACCAGUGGCGAAGGCGGCCUUCUGGACUGACACUGACGCUGAGGUGCGAAAGCGUGGGUAGCAAACAGGAUUAGAUACCCUAGUAGUC
rnacentral:rRNA from 1 species